CAUUUCUUGGCUGUGGUGUGGUGGUGUUGGUUGUUUCUGGCCGUCGUGCUAUUGUCUGUCGCCGUCAUUGCGUGAUCUAUUGAUGGGAUUCGGAAUUAUUCGUCGUCUGCGAGGGCGGUGUGCCUUUUGUUUUAUGGCUGAUCGGGUCCGUGGUCGUGGAAGUCGUUGUGGUAGCCGUGGUGGUUGUGGUCGUCGGGCCGGUGCCCGUGUUCGUGAUCGUGGGGGCGGUCGUGGUGGUCGGCGCGGCGAAGUGGCUUACGUGGUUGGCUCUUCUGUCGGCCAUGUGGGGACGUCGUCGUCUGCAGCAGCGUUGGUUGGCUCAGGUGCUUUGGUGCCAUCUUCUCGUGGUUUGCUGAUCGGUAUGUGGAGUGCUUGGGUGUUUUGUUGUUUAAUUCUUUUGUAUGUAGUGGUCUCUUCUUUCGCCAUGAAUUUGGUUGGAGUUUUCAUAUUAGGGAAUAUGGUCCUCGGGCAAAUCAGAAGAAGCGGUUGCGCCAAUUGAGGGAGCGCUUAUUUGGUUAGUAUCUUGCUGUUAGGUUGUGUCUUUGUUUUUCAUUUCCUCUCUUCUCGGUUUUGUGUUACGUUUCCUUGCGGUCGUGUUUCUCGUCUUGCCCAGGUCCAUCUAUAUGUCGAUCCAUUGGCGGUGGUUGUCCCGUGCUCAGUAAGGAGUACAUUUAUACGUGAAAGGUGGGUUACGGUUGUUAUGAUUGAUUUGGUGUUGCGAUCUUGGUGGCUAGGCGUUCCAUUUUUUUUCCAGGUAGUCUUCAUGGCAGGUCACAUCAUGGAGGUCUGGAUUACAUGUGUGCUUUUUGCGGCGCUUUGUUUUGGUAUUCGGAGAGAGUUGUUGGUGGCAGUGUGCAUGGCAAUGUGCUCUACAAUCUUUGUUGCAAGGGUGGUCGUGUGUGCUUACCACUGUAUAAGGAGUGGCCAUCUCCGUUGAGAGAACUUGUCAGUUUCAGCGGGGGUUCACGUGUCAGGGAAUUUAUGAGGCUUAUUCGCUCAUAUAACUCAUUGUUUGCGUUCACUUCGAUGGGAGUUGCGGUUGACAAGAGUACUAACACUGGUGAUGGUCCGUAUGUUUUUCGUAUUUGUGGCAAAGUGCAAUACUUAUUGGGACCUUGGUGCUUCCGCCUGAAAAGAACCCGUGUUUUGCGCAGUUGUAUGUCUAUGACACCAACAAUGAGCUCCGUAAUCGUCUUGAUGUGUUUGGAGUGGUCGGCGAGUGCAAGGACCGGCCUGAUGCUCAUAUUGUUGCUUCAUUGACUAAGAUGCUUAAUGCACAACGUGUUGGUUCGAACGUUUCGUAUGGCCUCUCAUCGUGUGUGUUCUCCGGUUUGUCCGAAUUUGGCUAUAAGGAUUGUUGGAUCGGGGUCGUCGGAUCCCAAUGUUUAUAGUCCUCCUGCUUCGUCCGAGUUGGCUGCUCUUGUUGUGGGCGAUUUUACUGCGGAGCGGUGUAAGUUUGAUAAUGUUGUUCAGCGGCAGGAUGGCCCGUUGACGCAUGUUUCUGAAUUGCAUCCGGCGUUAAUGGCCUUACAGUAUCCUUUGCUGUUUCCGUAUGGCGAGAAGGGGUUCUAUAUUGGCAUGAAGUAUGUUUCUGUUGGUGGUCGUGAUUCUCGGCGGGAUGAGGUGUCCAUGCUCGAGUACUAUUCGUAUCGAUGCCAUUAUAGACUGAACCAGCCUAACCCGUAUCUAUGUUGCGGUAGUCUUUCUGAUCAGAUAAAGGUCGAUGCUUAUUCAUGUGUCGAGUGGACAGGCCUUUCUUUGUUCUUCGGAACCAAGAAAAGUUGCGAGGCGAGUCGUAUCAGGGUUUGGUGGACGCCAUUGGGCAAGGUUCUUCCUCUGGCAAGAAUUUUGGCGUUAGGGUUUUGCUUCGGGCGAGUUUUGUUGGUUCUCGCCGUUAUAUGGCUCAGAAUUACCAGGAUGCGAUGGCAAUCUGCAGGUUCUAUGGUGCUCCUGAUCUGUUUGUGACGUUCACCUGCAACCCUAAGUGGGAUGAGAUUGCUGAUGCUUUGAGGCUUGAGCCUGGUCUGGCGCCGGCUGAUAGAUCCGAUCUGGUUUCACGUGUUUUUAGGAUGAAAUUGGAUGAGCUAUAUGAUGAUGUUAAGGGUGGCUCUGUGUUUGGUCCUGUCCGUGCAGGUGAUGUGUUAUUUCACGUGCUUUUCGGAUUUUUUUCGUAUUUGCGUAUUUUCUUUUUGUGCACUCUUGGCUCAUAUUUGUUUUCUUGUGUGCGGUGCGGCUCUUUACACGGUGGAGUUUCAAAAGCGCGGACUUCCGCAUGCGCAUAUGCUUGUGUGGCUGGAAGGUGGUCAACGUUUUUCUGUCGAAUAUGUCUCUGAUUUGCCUCCGAGCGCUAUUGAUGCUGUUAUAUCCGCUGAGCUUCCGGAUGUUUUUCUCGAUCCUUUGCUCUACGCUCUUGUUGAUGAGUUUAUGGUGCAUUGGCCUUGUGGAAGGAUGAAUGCACGUUGUCCUUGUAUGAAGGAUGGUGUUUGUUCGAAGCGAUAUCCUAAGAGUUUUCAUUCUUCGACAGUUGUUGAUAACGAUGGGUAUGUCACCUAUAGAAGGCGUGAGGAUAAUCCUUUUGUUAUGAAGUGUGUGCAUCGUCUUGAUAAUAGAUGGGUUGUUCCUUAUAAUGCUUGGCUUCUUAGGAAGUUGCAUGCUCAUAUAAAUGUUGAGUGGUGCAACAAGACUCAUUUGGUCAAGUAUUUGUUCAAGUACGUGCACAAAGGACUUGAUCGUGCGAAGGCUAAGGUAUUUGUUCCUUCGGGUUCUGGCGAUGGUGAGUCGUCUUUGCAUUUAUCGUCCAUGCCUUCUCGUGAUUUGCCUUGUGUGGACGGGGCUGCUGAGGCAGUGAUGGUCGCAUCUUUGUCGGAUGCCUCCCUUGUGGUCGUAAAAGGUGUUGAUGAGGUUGAGGAAUAUUUGAGUUGCAGAUAUUUGUCCUCUUGCGAAGCUAUUUGGAGGUUGUUUGCUUUUGAUCUGCAUGUUUGGUUUCCUUCUGUGGAGCGUCUUUAGAUCCAUCUUCCUGGUAUGAACAGAUUGACAUAUUCUGAGGAUGAUGAUAUUGCCAAUGUUGUUGGGAGGGAAGGUGCUAGGAAAAGUUCUCUUAUAGAGUGGUUUGCUAUGAAUCGCGAGCAUACAGAGUGUCGUGAUCUCAAGUAUUGUGAGUUCACAUCUAGAUAUACGUGGUAUCCUGAUGAGAAGAAAUGGGCUGCUCGUGGCAAGGGUUAUAAAGUUGGCAGAAUUCGAUAUGUACACCCUACCCCUGGUGAGUUGUUUUAUUUGCAGAUGCUUUUGAUGACAGUUCAUGGGGCAUGUGGCUACAGGGAUCUUAAGACACAUAUGGGUAGGUACCAUCCUACUUUUCAUGAAGCAUGUCAGGCUAGGGGUCUUCUCGGUGAUGACAGUGAGUGGGAGCGUGUAUUUCAAGAGUCUGUUUUGUGGGCCACUCCGGGUCAGCCGCGUGAUCUUUUUGUUACCUUGCUUAUGUUUUGUGAUGUUGGAGAUGCUGGCUCUCUCUUCAAUAAGUUUUGGGGGUACAUGGCUGAGGAUCUCUCUUAUCGAAUACGUUCAGCUUUGCGAAAGCAGAUUAUGUGGUGCCAGAGUUUUUGUUACGCGUACAUUUGGUGAGAGAGUUGUCCAUUCUUUUCAAUAAUAAUGGUGGUUCUAUAGAGUCGUAUAAUCUUCCUGCUGUUGUAGCGCCUGAUGGAGGGUCUGCGAGGAACAGGUUGGUUUAUGAAGAGACGUGCUAUGAUGUGUCGGCCUUGAGAGCUGAGUGGGAGUUGCUCUAUUCUAGGCUUAACGAGGGGCAUCUGUUGGUUUACCACAGUAUUCUAGAUUCUGUUGAGGUGCGGAAGCCAGGUGUUUCGUUCGUGUCGGGUUAUGGUGCUACCGGGAAGACGUUUUUGUGGAAAACUUUCGCUGCUAGGUUGCGAUCUCAAGGAAGGAUUGUUCUUGUUGUUGCUUCUUCUGGUGUUGCUGCUUGGUUGCUUCCUGGUGGUUGUACGGCUCAUUCAUGUUUUCACAUUCCCGUGGAUGUUGAUGGUAAGUCGUUUUGUGCUAUUGGUUGUGGUACCAUGGUUGCUGAUCUUAUUAGACAGACUUCGUUGAUUCUGUGGGAUGAGGCUCCUAUGACUCAUAGGAGAUGCUUUGAGUGUCUUGAUCGCACUCUCAGAGAUGUGCUGUCUGCGGACAAUGGAUUCAACUCGACCCUUGUCUUUGGAGGUCUUCCUGUUGUGUUGGGCGGUGAUUUCCGUCAGGGUUUGAGUAUAUUCAGCCUUGAUGUUAAUAUGAGAUUGCAGUCUCAUGGGUUGUCUGAUGAGGAGCGGGUGUUGAUGUCCAGUUUUGGUACAUGGGUUCUUGACGUGGGUGAUGGCCUGCUGCCCACCCGUGUUCAUAAGGACGACCCUGAACGCUGUUGAGUGGAUAUACCUGAUUGUUUUCUCAUUAAAUGCGGUCAAGACAAGGUUGCUGCUAUA